rfam:Loxodonta africana unplaced genomic scaffold scaffold_2, whole genome shotgun sequence.
GCAGUGGUGGUUCAGUGAUACAAUUCUCACCUUUCAUGUGGGAGACCUGGGUUUGAUUCCCAGCCAAUGCA